rnacentral:rRNA from 1 species
CCUACGGGUGGCAGCAGUGAGGAAUAUUGGUCAAUGGACGAAAGUCUGAACCAGCGAAGUAGCGUGAAGGAUGACUGACCUAGGGGUUGUAAACUUCUUUUAUAAAGGAAUAAAACAAGGCACGUGUGCCUGUUGGCAUGUCCUUUAUGAAUAAGGCACGGCUAACUACGUGCAAGCAGCCGCGGUAAUACGGAGGAUCCGAGCGUUAUCCGGAUUUAUUGGGUUUAACGGGAGCGUAGAUGGGUGGUUAAGUCAGUUGUGAAAGUUUGCGGCUCAACCGUAAAAUUGCAAUUGAUACUGGCAGGCUUGAGUACAGGUGAGGUAGGCGGAAUUCGUGGUGUAGCGGUGAAAUGCUUAGAUAUCACGAAGAACCCCGAUUGCGAAGGCAGCUUACUAAACUGUGACUGACAUUGAUGCUCGAAAGUGUGGGUAUCAAACAGGAUUAGAUACCCCAGUAGUC